rnacentral:ncRNA from 1 species
CCAAAGUUUUAUUUUGGCUUAAAAAUUGGCUUUCUGAUUCGAGUAUAUGUGAGUCUUGGCAUUAAUUUUUUAAGUUUUGGUUUCGCAGUAUUUAAAAUUAAUUAUUAUAGUGAUUUAUGAUUUAGGGAUUUAGUGUAGAUUAAACUUAAUUUGUGCCAGCAGUAGCGGUUAUACAGAUUAUUCAAGUCUAUUGUUUUAGGUUUAGUUAAAAGUAUAUUAUAAUUUUUAUUUGGUUUUUUAAGGUGAAAUUUAAAAUUCAUUAAUUAUUAUACAUUUGUUUUUGAGGCUAGGAAAAUUUAUGUUAUAAACUAGGAUUAGAUACCCUAUUAUUUUGAUUGUUAUUUUUUUUACUUUAUUUAUUAUUAGCUAAGGUCUAUAAAAUUAAAGAAUUUGGCGGUAUUUUAGUCUUUUCAGAGGAACCUGUUUUUUAAUCGAUAAUCCACGAUGAAUAGUAUUUUAUUUUUAAAUUUGCAUAUCGUUGUUUAUAAAAAUUUUAUUAGAAUUUUAAUUUUUAAGAUUUUUAAUUAUACAUUAUUUCAGAUCAAGGUGCAGUUUAUAUUAAAAUUAAAAUGGGUUACAUUGUAUUUAUAUUUGGUUUUAUUUUUUUAAAAUUUUAGAUAAAUUGGAUUUGAAAGUAAUUUCUUUUUCUUUGAGUUUUGAUUAAGCUCUAAAAUAUGCACAUAUCGCCCGUCGCUUUCACAUUAAGGUGAAAUAAGUCGUAACAAAGUAGGCUUAUUGGAAAAUGAGCCUGGAAUGAC